AAGAUUGUACUAGAGAAUCAUAGAAACAUUACCACUUGGGUCGCUUUCGAGGAGGUUGUGAACAAGAAAAUAAUUGAAAAUAAAAGAAACGAAUGGUGUUAGAGGAAAAGUGUAGAUUGUUACGGGUGGGUAGGGUAAAAAGGAAGAGGAAAGGUUUUGUUUUUUUCCAUAUAAUCGAAAUAACCAUUUUUCCUUUUUUCUUUUUGUAUUUAAUUGGAGCUGAUAUUUUCUUUACUUUAACAUUUUUUGGAAUAAAUUUUCUGUCCACAG
rnacentral:lncRNA from 1 species